UACGUAGGGUGCGAGCGUUAAUCGGAAUUACUGGGCGUAAAGUGUGCGCAGGCGGCCGCGCAAGUCGAGUGUGAAAGCCCCGGGCUUAACUUGGGAAUUGCGCUCGAAACUACGUGGCUGGAGUGUGGCAGAGGAAGGUGGAAUUCCACGUGUAGCGGUGAAAUGCGUAGAGAUGUGGAGGAACACCAAUGGCGAAGGCAGCCUUCUGGGCCAACACUGACGCUCAUGCACGAAAGCAUGGGGAGCAAAAGGG
rnacentral:rRNA from 1 species